UGAUGACUGCUAUGUGUCUUAAGGAAACUCACUUUGUUCGGCCUCUACUUGGAGUUAGUCAUCAGAAAACUUGCUACAUACCACUGAUGUAUGAGUCUAAAGUUCCUUAUUCUGCAUUGGAAAGUUGGACUUUGGAGGACUCAGCCAACAACAUGCCCAAAUCAAAGAAGAGAGCUCGCAGAUAGGAACUAAUUGCAGUUUAUUCUCUACAAAUCUGCAAAUGGCACAAGUAAAAGAAUAAUAAAAGAUUAGAAAUAAUGACCUUUAUGUUAACAAGGCUUAAUGACUUUGUUUGCUCAUGGACAAUUUGCAAAAAAAAAAUCUAAUUUAUGAAAAGAUUUGACAUUGGAUCCAGUGACAAACCUCUCAAGAGCUCUCAAAAACUCCAUAUAAGCAUAUGGGUACUCAAGGUCAAAAACAAUAUAAGAAGCAAUCAAGAGUGCC